GGAUGAGGACAGGUUGGUUCAUGGAUUUAUAUAGUGAAAUAGGGAAGAGGAAGAGUUGGUUUAUGGAUUUAUAAGGGAGUAGGCAUGAGGAAUGGAGUUUAUUGGCAAAUGGGGAUGGGGAAUGGUUGGAUUGUGGCUUUAUAGGGGAACAGGGAUGGGAAAUUGUUGGAUUGUGGCUUUAUAGGGGAAUAGGGAUGGGGAAUGGUCGGAUUGUGGAUUUAUAGGGGAAUAGGGGUGGGGAGCAGUUGGAUUGUGGCUUUAUAGGGGAAUAGGGAUGGGGAAUGGUUGGAUUGUGGCUUGAUAGGUGAAUAGGGAUGGGGAACAGUUGGUUAAUGGAUCAGUCAGGGACUAGGGAUAGGGAAUAGUUGACAGUGAUGAUCUUUUAGGCUAAAAAGGAUUUUUUGCUGUGCCUUCAUGAAGAAGUGGAUAAAAUCUGGUUAUUUACACAGCAGAAGUUGGGCUUAUCCCUGUAACAGCCAACCCAUACCCUCUGCUUUCCAUCUCCUGCCAGGGGCUUGGAAAUCCAAGUCUUGGGGGUGUGGUUGGGUCUUUCUGCAGUCCCAGGACAAGAACAGUCUGGAGGAAAGGAUGGGAAUUUGGAAACAGGACAUCCCCACUGCCCUUCUGGAUGGGACUGAUGGAAACACAGCUUCAUGCCUUGGGGGUGUGCAAGUGUUUGUGAUCAGAUAACACAAGAUGAGUGUUUAGAAAGAUGUUCAGGAGCUGAAACACUCAUAAAUCUAAGGUUCUGAAACCCCUGCACGUUGGAACCACAGCUCUGUAACAUCAUUUAUUCCAAGAAGGAAAGAUAAACCCUUCUGUCAUUCAGGUGAUUAAAGCAGGAUUAAAUCACACAGCUGCAAAAACUGCUGCUUCUGCCUGGUUUUCUGCCACUGCUGGAGCUGAGGCUGCUCCUGCAUCCGUGUUCUAGAGGAGCAGCAAAGCUCCAGGGAGGGGGAAUGGGACAAAAAUCCUUUGUAGCAAGUAGCAGAAGGCCCUGUGUGUUUUGUGCUUUGCUGCAUCACGCUCUCAGGGCUCUCUUGGAAGGUGGAAAUGGAUGUUUGUGGCAUUUAGCAGCAUCAGGGGAAUUCAUCCUGCUCCAAUUUGCUGACGAGGAAAGAACAUGAGAGGAAAACAUGAGCUCCCUUCCAAAGCAUGUGCACUCCAUGCAUAGCACUGCCCAUUUAGUACCUCCCCUAAAAUGGAAUAAAAUACAUUAAUUCAUUGAUUUAUUGAAGCA
rnacentral:lncRNA from 1 species